UGCAAGUCGAACGAAUCCCCGGUGGGGUAACUCUCCGGGGGGAAGUGGCGAACGGGGCAGUAAGGCGUGGGUAACCUGCCCGGGGGACGGGGAUAGCCCUCCUAACGGAGGGGUAAUACCCGGCGAUGUGCCGAGGGGGCCUCUUCUUGGCACCAAAGGAAUUUCGCCCCCGGAGGGGCUCACGUGGUAUUAGCUGGACGGCGGGGUAACGGCCCACCGUGGCCAAGAUGCCUAGCAGGUGUGAGAGCACGACCUGCGCCACUGGCACUGUGACACUGGCCAGACUCCUACGGGAGGCUGCAGUCGAGGAUCUUCGGCAAUGGGCGCAAGCCUGACCGAGCGACGCCGCGUGUGCGACGAAGGCCUUCGGGUUGUAAAGCACUGUCGAGGGGGAGAAAAGCCGCAAGGUCUGAUCGACCCCUGGAGGAAGCACGGGCUAAGUUCGUGCCAGCAGCCGCGGUAAGACGAACCGUGCGAACGUUAUUCGGAUUCACUGGGCUUAAAGGGCGCGUAGGCGGGCAGCCAAGUCAGGGGUGAAAGCCCCCGGCCCAACCGGGGAAGUGCCUCUGAGACUGGCUGUCUUGAGCGGGGUAGGGGCAGCUGGAACUCUCGGUGGAGCGGUGAAAUGCGUAGAUAUCGGGAGGAACGCCGGUGGCGAAAGCGGGCUGCUGGACCCCUUCUGACGCUGAGGCGCGAAAGC
rnacentral:rRNA from 1 species